CUAUGGUUAAACAAAUGCUAAAAUCGUGUGGGACUGGUCCGAGCAGAAUGGAGUUGGAAUAGAUGAAGUGAGAAAACCGCAUGUCUGAGGAUAUAUAUGCCAAGCCAGCCCUCACCAAAAAAGUUAGGUUUCAGACAGGUGUGUGAAGGUGGACAGAAACUCAGAAGCAUUUGAUGACAUCGAUAAUCUCUUACAGAAACACCAUUCCUGCUCAAUCCAGUGAGGUUCAGCAGAAUCUGAGAAUGACAGUGGAUUGACAGGAAAAGUGGGAGAGAGAUGGGAGAUGACACGCAGCAAAGGGCCGCGGUCGGACUCGAACCUGGGCGCUGCAAAGCAGACUCAGCCUACAUGGGGCGCACGC